rnacentral:rRNA from 1 species
AUUGAACGCUGGCGGCAUGCCUUACACAUGCAAGUCGAACGGUAACAGGUCUUCGGAUGCUGACGAGUGGCGAACGGGUGAGUAAUACAUCGGAACGUGCCCGAGAGUGGGGGAUAACGAAGCGAAAGCUUUGCUAAUACCGCAUACGAUCUCAGGAUGAAAGCAGGGGACCGCAAGGCCUUGCGCUCACGGAGCGGCCGAUGGCAGAUUAGGUAGUUGGUGGGAUAAAAGCUUACCAAGCCGACGAUCUGUAGCUGGUCUGAGAGGACGACCAGCCACACUGGGACUGAGACACGGCCCAGACUCCUACGGGAGGCAGCAGUGGGGAAUUUUGGACAAUGGGCGCAAGCCUGAUCCAGCCAUGCCGCGUGCAGGAUGAAGGCCUUCGGGUUGUAAACUGCUUUUGUACGGAACGAAAAGACUCUGGUUAAUACCUGGGGUCCAUGACGGUACCGUAAGAAUAAGCACCGGCUAACUACGUGCCAGCAGCCGCGGUAAUACGUAGGGUGCGAGCGUUAAUCGGAAUUACUGGGCGUAAAGCGUGCGCAGGCGGUUAUGUAAGACAGAUGUGAAAUCCCCGGGCUCAACCUGGGAACUGCAUUUGUGACUGCAUAGCUAGAGUACGGCAGAGGGGGAUGGAAUUCCGCGUGUAGCAGUGAAAUGCGUAGAUAUGCGGAGGAACACCGAUGGCGAAGGCCAUCCCCUGGGCCCGUACUGACGCUCA